GCCGGUGUGUCGGAAUGGCAGACGAUGCAGACUCAAAAUCUGUUGGGCGUACGCCCGUGUGGGUUCGAGUCCCACCACCGGCA
rnacentral:tRNA from 1 species